CAUAAAACUGUCAUUCAAUUAAUGCAGACAAUUGCCGAGGAAAACAUUUUCUCAGCUUUUUCAUAUUUCCCAUUCAUUUUUAGAUGAGUCAAAAUAUAUAUUUUGCUCAAAGCAAUAUUUUCCUCUAUGCGAAACAGCAAGUAAUGGCCGUGUCACACUGGUUAAUUUUGAAGUGGCUUACCUUUAUAAUUCCGUGCCUUCAACAGGGCGUACCCGAAGCAGUCAUUUUUAAUUUACAAAAUAGGUUUGAAGGAGUAGUGGCUGUGUUUCUGGUCUGAAAUGUGAAAAUGCUAUAUUUUGACAAGUGCAUUACAUAAUGUGCUUUUGGAGAUCUCCAGUUAACUGGUAAAAUAAAGCUCAGUCAUCCUCUAUGAGAAAUAGUUUGUGAAAUUACCAGGUUUUUUACACUGAUUGCUUCCAAAGUCAAAAUUUUAGAUGAAUACAAUCAGACUAAACCAAUUAAACAUGAACAUUUGCACUGUGUUCAUGAAUUUAUUGAACAAGUGCAGGCUGGAAAAAAGUUACUUGGAGUCAGUUGUUUCACUUGAGGACAUGAGAUUCCAGCUUUGGGUUGUAGAGUAUCCUCUUCCUGAUAAAGUGUGGAUUUCUCAUGAAAGGUUUUCCAACAAAAAAAAAAAAAAGCUUCAACAGUUUUCUGAAGACCAUCAGCUCACAAUCAGACAAACUAUCUACAUCCGUCUAUCUACUCAGAGUCACAUGUGUGCGAGAAUCUACCCCAGCUCCAGUAGGUUAAUAGGCAGGAUACACAGUCUUAAAGAGGACCAACGCAGAUAGACAGACAAUCACAAUCACUCACACCUACACCCAGUUUUUAAAUCACCAGUUGACCAAAAGUGCAUGUCUUUGGACUGUGGGAGGACCUGGCUUUAUCUACAAAGAGGGAAAAUUCAGAACUGUUGAUACUCUACCUAGGAGUGGGUGUUCUGCAAAGAUUGCAACAUACAGUCCUGAAAGGGUAAUAACAACACACCUACAGAAAUCUAAAACUGGGAAAAAUAAUCUAUGGUGAGGUUUACACCACGAGACAAAGACUCAAUAAAAAUGAAGUUAAAGGAAGAAAAUCAUGAAGAAAACCAUCACAAGUCUCGUGUUUGCAAAAAGACCACCUAGUUGUUCCAUAACAACCAGAUACAAACAUGCACAGGCUUGUUUGGAAGGGGAAAAAAGACACUGCACACCAACACUAAAACCUCUUCUCAGACGUGGGUUGGAGGGAUCAUCAUCA
ensembl:lncRNA